AAUGUUUUGGCUGUAGAAACCCUGGAAUCUUAUCAAUUUUUUGUUGUCAGCUUCAUCUCUUUAAUAUUCCAUGAGAAUGGAGUUAAAUGACACUACCAUGC